rnacentral:misc_RNA from 1 species
GAUGAAGAACGUAACGAAAUGCGAUAAGUAGUGUGAAUUGCAGAAUUCAGUGAAUCAUCGAAUCUUUGAACGCACAUUGCGCCCCUUGGUAUUCCAUGGGGCAUGCCUGUUCGAGCGUCAUUUGUACCUUCAAGCUUUGCUUGGUGUUGGGUGUUUGUCUCGCCUUUGCGUGUAGACUCGCCUUAAAAUAAUUGGCAGCCGGCGUAUUGAUUUCGGAGCGCAGUACAUCUCGCGCUUUGCACUCAUAACGACAGCGUCCAAAAGUACAUUUUACACUCUUGACCUCGGAUCAGGUAGGGAUACCCGCUGAACUUAAGCAUAUCAAUAAGCGGAGGA